rfam:Pseudomassariella vexata strain CBS 129021 BCR38scaffold_18, whole genome shotgun sequence.
ACAUACGGCCACAGGCUCCAGAGAACUCGGGAUCCCGUCCGCUCUCCCUUAGAUAAGCUGGACACUGCUGGAUUAGUAGUUGGGUGGGUGACCAUCAGCGAAUACCCAGUGUUGUAUGUU